CAUCUUCGUUGGGCCAGGUUGACAAAGAUGCUAGAUUAGUGCACAUUGGAGACUAUGAGUAUCCAUUUGAGAACCUGAUAUUCGAGGGCGGUGGAAACAAAUCUUUGGCUUACAUUGGCUGCGUUAAGUGUCUAGAAGACAUCCGUAUGAUGUCACAAAU
rnacentral:sRNA from 1 species